ACUGGCUGCUCUGAAAAGCCAUCUUUGCAUUGUUCCUGUGGCUCCCUCUCCGCUCGCUGCAACCACCUCCGCCGCGCGCCUCCUCCACCGCCGCGGACUCCGGCAGCUUCUUCGCCAGAGUCCUCCAACUCUCGCUUUUUUAAAAGAAAUCCGCUGCAGAGGAUCACCGGCGUGCCCCACCAUGUCAGACACGGCCGUGGACACCAGCUCCGAGAUCACCACCAAGGACUUAAAGGAGAAGAAGGAAGUUGUGGAGGAGACAGAGAAUGGAAGAGAUGCACCUGCGAAUGGGAACGCUGUGAGGAAGAGGAUGGAGAUGAAGAUGAGGAGGCUGAGGCAGCUACAGGCAAACGGGCAGCUGAAGAUGAUGAGGAUGAUGAUGUUGACACCAAGAAGCAGAAGACCGAUGAGGAUGACUAGACAGCAAAAAAAGGAAAAGUUAAAGGCCUCCGUGACCUAUUCACCCUCCACUUCCCGUCUCAGAAUCUAAACGUGGUCACCUUCGAGUAGAGACUCCCGCCCACCUGCCUACCCACCCACCUCAGGCAGCGCCACCUGCAGAUGACACGCACUCUCCACCACCCAACCAAAACCACAACGUGAAUUUGCAACAGGGGAGGAAAAAAGAACCAAAACUUCCAAGGCCCUGCUCUGCUUUUUUUCUUAAAAGUACUUUAAAAAGGAAAAUUUGUUUGUAUUUUUUAUUUACAUUUUAUAUUUUUGUACAUAUUGUUAGGGGUCAGCCAUUUUUAAUGAUCUUGGGAUGACCAAACCAGCCUUUGGAGCAUUCUCUGUCCUACUUCUGACUUUACUUGUGGUGUGACCAUGUUCAUUAUAAUCUCAAAGGAGAAAAAAAACCUUGUAAAAAAAGCAAAAACAACAACAAAAAAAACAAUCUUAUUCCGAGCAUUCCAGUAACUUUUUGUGUAUGUACUUAGCUGUACUAUAAGUAGUUGGUUUGUAUGAGAUGGUUAAAAAGGCCAAAGAUAAAAGGUUUCUUUUUUUCCCUUUUUUUGUCUAUGAAAUUGCUGUUUAUUUUUUUUGGCCUGUUCGAUGUAUGUGUGAAACAAUGUUGUCCACAAUAAACAGGAAUUUUAUUUUGCUGAGUUGUUCUAACAAAAAAAAAAAAAAAAAAAAAAAAAAAAAAAA